rnacentral:rRNA from 1 species
AUUGAACGCUGGCGGCAGGCCUAACACAUGCAAGUCGAGCGAGCGGCGGACGGGUGCGUAAUGUCUGGGAAACUGCCUGAUGGAGGGCGAUAACUACUGGAAAAGGUAGCUAAUACCGCGUACCAUCAGAUGUGCGCAGAUGGGAUUAGCUAGUAGGUGGGGUAACGGCUCACCUAGGCGACGAUCCCUAGCUGGUCUGAGAGGAUGACCCGCCACACUGGAACUGAGACACGGUCCAGACUCCUACGGGAGGCAGCAGUGGGGAAUAUUGCACAAUGGGCGCAAGCCUGAUGCAGCCAUGCCGCGUGUGUGAAGAAGGCCUUCGGGUUGUAAAGCACUGUCAGCGGGGAGGCGUUACCCGCAGAAGAAGCACCGGCUAACUCCGUGCCAGCAGCCGCGGUAAUAC